UCCAGAUCAGAAUGGAGAACGUGAUUUCGCAGCCACACGUUCCAGGUGAUGAAGUGGUGAUUCGCAAGUCUGCAAGCUACCAUCCCACCGUUUGGGGUGAUUACUUUAUCUUACAGGCCCAGUCCUCCCCCAGUACACAGGCAUGUAUAUACACAUAUAUCUCACAUAUGUUAAGUUUUAGGCAAGAAACUCUCCGAGAACGAAUGGUGUUAAUGUUUCAUUAACAUGAAAAAUGUGCACUUGCUACUUUCUUUCGGUUUUGUUGGUUGAACAAUUAAUUGCUAUGCUAUGGAGGAUGCAGGAGUGCGAUGCAAGGAUGCAAGAGAGAGCUGCAGAACUGAUGGAGCAGGUAAGAAGCAUGUUCAAGGACACUACCGACAUCUUGCAAACUAUGGACUUGGUCGAUUCAAUCCAGCUUCUCGGAUUGAGUUAUCACUUCGAGAAAGAAAUAAGUGAAGCAUUAAACCGAGUCCAUGAUGCCGAUUUUAACGAUCAUGGUCUCUACGAUACUGCUCUCCGGUUUCGCCUUCUGAGACAACAAGGGUAUCAUGUGACCCCUGAUGUUUUUAACAAGUUCAAAGAUGAGGAAGGAAAUUUAGUGUCCACCUUGAAGGAUGAUCCAAAGGGACUUUUAAGCUUAUACAAUGCGGCUUAUCUACGGAUACAUGAGGAGACCAUACUCGAUGAAGCUAUUUCCUUUACAAGGGACCAGAUUGCGUCCAUGUUAAGUGAUCUCACACCACCGUUAGCAACGCAAGUGAGACUGUUCCUGGAGAGUCCUCUCUGUAGAAGAAUGAAAAGGGUCUUGGCACGAAAUUUCAUCUCCGUCUACCAAGACUGUGCGACACGAAAUGAUGCCUUACUAGAGCUGGCAAAGCUUGACUUCAAUCUACUGCAAUGUCUUCAUCGCGACGAGAUUAAGAGCAUCUCCAUGUAAUUUCUUUCCUACAGUUAGAUUGAUUGAGAGUUCAGGUUGAGGAGUAAACUUGAAUACGUAGAACACUGACAUUGUAGAAAUGUUUGAUUGUUUCCGUCUUUUUUUAUCGAUGUUUGGAUUGACAAUAACAUUGUGGUUUGUGGAUUGCAUUGAA